rnacentral:rRNA from 1 species
GAUGAACGCUGGCGGCGUGCCUAAUACAUGCAAGUCGAGCGAACGGACGAGAAGCUUGCUUCUCUGAUGUUAGCGGCGGACGGGUGAGUAACACGUGGAUAACCUACCUAUAAGACUGGGAUAACUUCGGGAAACCGGAGCUAAUACCGGAUAAUAUUUUGAACCGCAUGGUUCAAAAGUGAAAGACGGUCUUGCUGUCACUUAUAGAUGGAUCCGCGCUGCAUUAGCUAGUUGGUAAGGUAACGGCUUACCAAGGCAACGAUGCAUAGCCGACCUGAGAGGGUGAUCGGCCACACUGGAACUGAGACACGGUCCAGACUCCUACGGGGGGCAGCAGUAGGGAAUCUUCCGCAAUGGGCGAAAGCCUGGCGGAGCAACGCCGCGUGAGUGAUGAAGGUCUUCGGAUCGUAAAACUCUGUUAUUAGGGAAGAACAUAUGUGUAAGUAACUGUGCACAUCUUGACGGUACCUAAUCAGAAAGCCACGGCUAACUACGUG